rnacentral:rRNA from 1 species
AUUGAACGCUGGCGGCAGGCCUAACACAUGCACGUCGAGCGGAGCGGCGGACGGGUGAGUAAUGCCUAGUAAUCGGCCUGGUAGUGGGGGAUAACGUCCGGAAAAGGGCGCUAAUACCGCAUACUAUCAGAUGAGCCUAGGUCGGAUUUGCUAGUUGGUGGGGUAAAGGCCUACCAAGGCGACAGUCCGUAACUGGUCUGUGAGGAUGAUCAGUCACACUGGAACUUGGACACGGUCCAGACGCCUACGCGAGGCAGCAGUGGGGAAUAUUGGACAAUGGGCGAAAGCCUGAUGCAGCCAUGCCGCGUGUGGGAAGAAGGUCUUCGGAUUGUAAAGCACUUUAAGUUGGGAGGCGUUACCAACAGAAUAAGCACCGGCUAACUUCGUGCCAGCAGCCGCGGUAAUUC